AGGGGGAAGGGGAAGGAAUCGGCUGAGGAUCUACUAGCCCGCCUUACCCUGCAGGAGGAGGAAGAGGAUGACUUUGUGUGGGAGGAGGAGCUACCAGACCUGAUGGAGCCGGCGAAGUGGUUGGCGAUUGCAAGGGUUCAUACACCAAAAACUUUUAGCCCUAACGCAUUGUAUGGGGACAUGAGGGCGGCCUGGAACCCAGCUAAGCUGGUAGCAUGGAGGAAGAUCAGGGAGAACUUGUUUGCGCAGUUUGGAUGCCUCGCAGAUUGGAAG
rnacentral:rRNA from 1 species